CCACACUCGAACAAUUUGAUGUGUGCCGCAAGGAUGAUCUGCUACAGAUAGCAGACUUCUUUAACAUUUUGGUCCCCGCUGAGGCUUCCAAGCGGGUCGUUAAGCAAUUUUUGCUCGAUGAAUUGGUUCCCGGACGAGCCCCCAUACGAACCGAGCGGACCCAAUGCGGUCCACACAAUCUUCCAUUCUAGGAAGCGGAAAGGCGUCGGGUUUGGUUACCGCGUUGACUUUCCUAUAGUCGGUGCAGAAACGAGACGUACCAUCGGGUUUUGGGACAAGCAAACAGGGUGAACUCCAGGGACUGGAACUAGGAACGGCGAGACCCGUUUCCAGCAGGGGUCUGUGAAGGGGUGUCGGAGAAUAGCGACGGAAACUUGCGCACUAGGGCCUGGAUAUCCGAUUGGGCGGCUCUGGGUAAGUGAGCAAGCUUUUUCUCGAGGACUUUAAGGGCUUCUGAAUUUGGUAGGCGAGCGCAUGGUAAACAAUUUCUCCCGAGGUGCAGCUCAUCGAGUUCGGGCGAGUACUCGCGCACCGGCACAGUAACCACAGCAGAGGGGAGCAAAACAGAAGCGGACGAAGGAACGGGGUCAGCACGAUCAACGACCUGAAAACCGGGCUUGAAGAGACGAGCCAGGCAAGGGCAAAAGGACUAACACGCGAUCUCCCUCUUGGAACGACCGUUCUCUAGCUGUUUUAUCGAAACGAGUUUUCAUCACCUCCUGUGACGAACCUAACGAGCGCUUGGCCAAGUCCCUGACUGUACCAAGGCGCUCACGCAGAGACUUAACAUAGCCUAACACAUUCCUAGUCUGAGGAGGUGGAUUCGGGGACAACCACUGCUCUUGCAGUACCUUCAAGGGACCACGUAGCGUAUGCCCAAAAACAAGCUCAGCUGGACUGAAU